CCGGCUGUGAAUGUGAAGUUCGCCUGUUCGGCGACCUGCCUCUUUUUAUCUCUUCCUUUCUUUUGCGGAGGCAACUUGGCUAGUUGAGCGCCCGGCCUAUUCUUCCGUUUCUUCUGCAUUUCUACACGGCACCAGUACACUAUCGGACUAGCGCAAGCUUUAACGUGGAUGAAAACACGGGACUAUUUUCAGCAGGGCUCUCACUUGUGCGUGCUUUGCCUCCGUAGCUCUCCCUCCAUGGCCACAGAAAGCUAUCAGCGAGUAUAGACGGAGGAGGAAUCAAGCAAGCCGUGCCUUAAGGUCACAUGGCAUUUAUGCAUGCAAAUGAGAACUCGUUUCAGGACACGAACAAGCAAUAAUAUGUAUCAGCGCAUCAACAAAAAAGGUAAGUACCGGUACCAUUAAAUACAGCUGCUCUGCAAAUUCUCUUUGCGUUAAGAGAAGCAUAGUUGCUUUCUACGUGACUACUGACCUUCGUAAUCUAUAUCGUGGGAAGCGUGUCAUCGUUAAGUCACCAUACAACAGCCUUGCCAGCUCGGUUGUGUAGUUGCUGUACGAAAUUUAAUUUUCGUUAAAUUAAAGAGAAUGUUUGCAAUGACGAGACAUCUCGGACGACUGGUGUGAUAAUUGUCGGGUCGUUAUGCCUAUACCAUUUGAGUUGGUGCACACACAAAAUAAAUACUAGCUGAAACAUACAACAACAAAAAAAAACAUACAAACGAAAACCAACAAGAAGUGGGGGAGGAGAAAGCUGUCACGUUAGAGUAGAAAGGAGGCAUCGUGAAAGUUUGCAUGAUUGAAACCUGAACCGGAAGUAACAGAAGGGAAGGCCAAAAGGAAAACGACUGAGAAGCUGCUCCCGAACAGCGUGAGCCUUGUAAACAAUUGUCAGAGCACAUCAAAUACAACACGUCGAAAGAAAAGCGGAAGAGCAGGAAAUGAGUGUUGGCACCACAUCGACCUUCUGCGCGGUUUGUGUGUCUGCUCCAUUCUUGCGAAGAGAAGCAAAUCCCAGAUGUGUAUAGACAGGGCCAGAAUAGGCCCAA